rnacentral:tRNA from 2 species
AGUUAAUAAGUUUUAGAUAAACAUUUACCUUGAAAGUAAAAUAAAGAAAGUUAAAUUCUUUCAUUAACUU